rnacentral:lncRNA from 1 species
AAAUUACAGUCCUAGAUUAUCAAAUAAUUAAAUAAUCAUAAAAUAUUUGGUAUGGUAACCAAAUAACCAUUAUAAAAACAGCUGAACAAACCCAUGAGGACGUUUUUUGUCGGAUAUGAUUUUGCAACAAUAAUAAUAUUCUGACUUCAUGCUUGAUAUAUUAGUCCUUGUACUCAAUUACCCCAAACCUGUACUAUAAAAUCUUAUGCCAGAUUUGUCACCAC